GAAAAACAGAACUCUUAUAGGAUCACUUUGUUGUCUAUCUCUCUGUCUGUCGAGUCAAGAAAAUCAAUAGGGUACUUCCCGUUGACCUAGAAUCAUGUUUGGCAGGUAGGUAGGUCUUAUAGCAUAAGCAAAGGAAAAAAUCCGAAAAC